rnacentral:rRNA from 1 species
GACGAACGCUGGCGGCGUGCUUAACACAUGCAAGUCGAGCGGAGCGGCGAACGGGUGAGUAACGCGUGAGUAACUGCCCCCCUCUCUGGGAUAACAGUUGGAAACGGCUGCUAAUACCGGAUAGUGGGGGAUGACUCGCGUCCUAUCAGCUUGUUGGUCGGGUAGUGGCCUACCAAGGCGACGACGGGUAGCCGGCCUGGGAGGGCGACCGGCCACAAUGGGCUGAGGUACGGACCAGUCUCGUAGGGGGGGCAGCAGGGGGGAAUAUGGCACAAUGGGGGAAACUCUGAGGCAGAAACGCCGGGGGCGGGAUGACGGCUUUCGGGUUGUAAACAGCUUUCCGCCAUGACGCGGUAUUGGCAGAAGAAGCACCGGCUAACUACGUGCCAGCAGCCGCGGUAAUAC